CUCAAUGGUGUUUGGAAAGCUUCAAGGCAAAAGGAGGCACUGUAGUACCAGAGAAGGCAAGAGUCCUUCUAUAAUAAACAACUUCCAGUCUGUUUUGCGGCUUAUCCCAUGACACUGCCUUUUGAACAUUGGAGCCAUUGGAGACAGCAUGGCUCCCCCCUGUACUGUAUAAUGCAUGCAGAUGGGAGGUCAUCUCAUGUGUUUUUCAGCGUGGUGUCAAAACAUGCCUUUCCGUUUUAACAUCCAGGUGUCCUGUUAGAAUUAAAGACUAGCAACAGAAUAUGCAGGACCAGUUAACAAAUUCUAGUUGAUUACAUUUACAAUUACCUAAAAGGGUAAGAUGAAGACUUGAAGAGAUUUAUGAAAUAUUUCCCAUCAGUUGCUCACAUAGCAUACCCUGCAGACAGUGCAGCAUGAAUCCAGAUCAAAGGCAGCCAUCUUCUGUAACGCAGCGCUCUCCCGAGGCCCUUGAAGAGCUGCACAGCCGAUGACGACAGCCUCCAGGUGUUGCGAUUCACAGAACAUCACAACGGUCCUUUCUAUAAAAGGACCCUGUUUAUUCACUUAAAGGGACAGUUCACUGAAAAUGCUUAAAGUGCCCAUAUUAUGAAAAAAAUCACGUUUUCUGGGUUUUGGGGUGUUCUUUUGCGUCUCUGGUGCUUCCACACGCAUACAAACUUUGGAAAAAAAACAUCCAUGCUGUUUUGAGUGAGAUAUAGGUUUCUGAAUGUCCUCUGUCUUCAGUCUCUGGGUGAGCUGUUAGAAAACUCCUCGGACUGUGACGUCACAGUCCGAAAAAUUUAAAUAUUCCCACCCUCCACCCACCAGGUACAGCAGUAACUUCUUCUCUGAUAUCCUCCAUGUUGUUACUGAUUCAGAACCACCAUGUCGAAGCACCACUUAAACUGUGGUUGGCUGUAAAGAGGAGCACAAAACACUCCAUCGCGUCCCAGCCGCAGAGGACAGAAGAGUGGCAUGGCUUGAAUUCAUUUUUGAAGGCAAUGUCCCUGCUACAGUUAUCAAAAUUUUUUCGGUUUGUGCUAACCAGUUUGAGACGGCUGUUUCUCCAACUUCGGUCAGUACAAGGCAGGAUUAGCCAAGAAACUUUUGCUAAAAGAGUGCGCAAUUCAAACUUUGCGUGGAAUACCUGCAGACAAGGGACAUUAAUAGGUUUGAGGCGGCUUCGGGGGGCUACACUCAGCACCGUCAACUCUGCAGGAGGAAUCUCAAGGUCAUCUGGGAAUUCUGCAUGGACUUGAGAUUUAUUAUUCAUUAUAUUCUACUUUACUCACUGACCGCAGAAAGCUGUGCUUGGAGCCGUGGACUACAGUACACAACAAUCAAUAUAUCAACUAUCAAGAUUCCACAAACUGCUGUCAUAUGCAAUAUUUUAAGUGGAUGAUUGGGAUACAGAUUGGCUGAAAGUUGUGGUUUGUUUUCGGCAAGGAGUUACAGGAGUGUGGCAUAUGGUCAAUAUACCAGAGCAAAGGACUGUAUUUACGCACAAUGCAGCGCGAAAUUGCAGGAAACGGCCCUCAGCUGUGGUAUAUUGUGCAUAUACCACAAUCUCUUGUAAGUUUUGGCUGAAACACACCACAAUUGUCAGCCAAUCAAUUUAAUUAAUAAACCAGUUACCAACACAAUUAUGGAAGUACAUUUUUUUGUGUGAUAGCUGUCAUACAGAGUUUUCAGCCAAGCGUCAUACAAAGUUCAAACUGUCCAUAAGUACUUCUUAUGUUCUAAUGUUAAUAGUUAUGUUCACAACAGCAAUAAAGCAUCUCUAUAUCUCUCGCAUUGAGCUAGGUCUAGUCUGUCAUACACACCACACUCCCUCACGUGACUGAAU
ensembl:lncRNA